rnacentral:rRNA from 1 species
UACAGAGGGUGCGAACGUUGUUCGGAAUUACUGGGCGUAAAGGGCUCGUAGGCGGCCAACUAAGUCGGAUGUGAAAUCCCCAGGCUCAACCUGGGAACUGCAUCCGAUACUGGAUGGCUUGAAUCCGGGAGAGGGAUGCAGAAUUCCAGGUGUAGCGGUGAAAUGCGUAGAUAUCUGGAGGAAUACCGGUGGCGAAGGCGGCAUCCUGGACCGGCAUUGACGCUGAGGAGCGAAAGCUAGGGGAGCAAACGGG